CUGAGAUAAGAUCAGCCAAAAAUAGACUCAAUUCCUGACCCUCCUAGUUUUCUGAGACUGCAUCCACUUUGAUAGUUUCUACUGAGUCCAAAUUAGAACAUCCCAGCUGGUGGGCUGUCUCCCAGGAAGCCCUCGGAGAGGAGGGGACACCGGACACACCCCACCACCCCGGGUAGUGUCAGGUAGACUUGUCUAUUUACAUCCUUUCACCCUUUCUGGGGAGACUAUCAGACGAUGUGCUCCCCCAGGUGAAGAAGUAGUCCCAGGAAAAAGGAGACAUGGGAUACAGGGGUCCUGAACCUGGCGGCGGACAAGGGAGCUCCUGGGAGGACAGCUCCUGCCUAGCAAUAGCCAGCAGCUGGUCCAGACUGCGGCCGUGACUCAGAAGAUAGACAUGCAGAGGGUUAUGAUCACAGAGCAACGAUGGUCCUUGUACAUGAAGAUAAAAACGCUCAGGUGUGCCCAGGUCGAAGAAGAUGAAAGGCCCUGCUUCCCAGAGCGCCCGGGGGCACUGAUGAUCUCUGCCAGGUCUGUUUCCACCCACUGCAGCCGUGACAGACUCUUGCUCUGUUGCCCAGGCUAGAAUGCAAUGGCGUGAUCUUGGCUCACCACAACUUCUGCCUCCUGGGUUCAAGUGAUUCUCCUGCCACAUCCAGCUAAUUUUGUAUUUUUAGUAGAGACGAGAUUUCACCAUGUUGGCCAGGCUGGUCUUGAACUCCUGACAUUGUGAUCUACCCACCUCGGCCUCCCAGAGUGCUAGGAUUACAGGCGUGAGCUACCAUGCCCAGCCUACCUGGAGCAUUAUUUAAACCUUAAACCUUUAAA